GAUGAACGCUGGCGGCGUGCCUAAUACAUGCAAGUCGAGCGAACGGACGAGAAGCUUGCUUCUCUGAUGUUAGCGGCGGACGGGUGAGUAACACGUGGAUAACCUACCUAUAAGACUGGGGUAACUUCGGGAAACCGGAGCUAAUACCGGAUAAUAUUUUGAACCGCAUGGUUCAAAAGUGAAAGACGGUCUUGCUGUCACUUAUAGAUGGAUCCGCGCUGCAUUAGCUAGUUGGUAAGGUAACGGCUUACCAAGGCAACGAUGCAUAGUCGACCUGAGAGGGUGAUCGGCCACACUGGAACUGAGACACGGUCCAGACUCCUACGGGAGGCAGCAGUAGGGAAUCUUCCGCAAUGGGCGAAAGCCUGACGGAGCAACGCCGCGUGAGUGAUGAAGGUCUUCGGAUCGUAAAACUCUGUUAUUAGGGAAGAACAUAUGUGUAAGUAACUGUGCACAUCUUGACGGUACCUAAUCAGAAAGCCACGGCUAACUACGUG
rnacentral:rRNA from 1 species